UACGUAGGUGGCAAGCGUUAUCCGGAAUUAUUGGGCGUAAAGAGCGCGCAGGUGGUUAAUUAAGUCUGAUGUGAAAGCCCACGGCUUAACCGGAGUAGUGCAUUGGAAACUGGGAGACUUGAGUGCAGAAGAGGAGAGUGGAACUCCAUGUGUAGCGGUGAAAUGCGUAGAGAUAUGGAGGAACACCAGUGGCGAAGGCGGCUUCCUGGUCUGCAACUGACACUGAGGCGCGAAAGCGUGGGGAGCAAACAGG
rnacentral:rRNA from 1 species